AGCUCGAUGAGUAGGGCGGGACACGUGGUAUCCUGUCUGAAUAUGGGGGGACCAUCCUCCAAGGCUAAAUACUCCUGACUGACCGAUAGUGAACCAGUACCGUGAGGGAAAGGCGAAAAGAACCCCGGCGAGGGGAGUGAAAAAGAACCUGAAACCGUGUACGUACAAGCAGUGGGAGCACAGGUUUACCUGUGUGACUGCGUACCUUUUGUAUAAUGGGUCAGCGACUUAUAUUCUGUAGCAAGGUUAACCGAAUAGGGGAGCCGGAGGGAAACCGAGUCUUAAUUGGGCGUUAAGUUGCAGGGUAUAGACCCGAAACCCGGUGAUCUAGCCAUGGGCAGGUUGAAGGUUGGGUAACACUAACUGGAGGACCGAACCGACUAAUGUUGAAAAAUUAGCGGAUGACCUGUGGCUGGGGGUGAAAGGCCAAUCAAACCGGGAGAUAGCUGGUUCUCCCCGAAAGCUAUUUAGGUAGCGCCUCGUGAAUUCAUCUCCGGGGGUAGAGCACUGUUUCGGCUAGGGGGCCAUCCCGGCUUACCAACCCGAUGCAAACUGCGAAUACCGGAGAAUGUUAUCACGGGAGACACACGGCGGGUGCUAACGUCCGUCGUGAAGAGGGAAACAACCCAGACCGCCAGCUAAGGUCCCAAAGUCAUGGUUAAGUGGGAAACGAUGUGGGAAGGCCCAGACAGCCAGGAUGUUGGCUUAGAAGCAGCCAUCAUUUAAAGAAAGCGUAAUAGCUCACUGGUCGAGUCGGCCUGCGCGGAAGAUGUAACGGGGCUAAACCAU
rnacentral:rRNA from 2 species